rnacentral:rRNA from 1 species
UAAGGAAUAUUGGUCAAUGGACGCAAGUCUGAACCAGCCAUGCCGCGUGAAGGAAGACGGCCCUACGGGUUGUAAACUUCUUUUGUACGGGAAAAAACCACCGGUCGUGAAUCGGUGCUGAUGGUACCGUAAGAAUAAGCAUCGGCUAACUCCGUGCCAGCAGCCGCGGUAAUACGGAGGAUGCAAGCGUUAUCCGGAUUCAUUGGGUUUAAAGGGAGCGCAGGCGGAAUGAUAAGUCAGUGGUGAAAUCCUACGGCUCAACUGUAGAACUGCCAUUGAUACUGUUGUUCUUGAGUACACUUGGAGUGGGCGGAAUGUGUCAUGUAGCGGUGAAAUGCUAGAUAUGACACAGAACACCGAUCGCGAAGGCAGCUCACUAAGUUGUAAACUGACGCUCAG